ensembl:lncRNA
CCAUCCUUGUGCCUGUAUGGAGCCUUAUCCUGUCUUCCUCUGUAGGUUUUUUGGCCUUCCACUCACAAGGCAGGCAAGAUACAAUCCCCUUUUUCAUCUGCACCCCGACUCCCUGCAGCAAUGAACAAAUACUGUUGCGCCUAAGGUCAGACCUGGCCUCUCUUUCCACUUUGGAUCUAUCUAUAGCUGCUUUUUUACAAACCUAACAAGAUUGGAGAACCAGUUGUCUUUCUAGUGAUUAGAAGUGGUGACUGUGGUGUGUUACAUUGCAUGCACUGGCUUAUCGGACUGGAUACGUGAAUCUUCACAAUUCCAAGUGGGACAGAAAAGUCUGCUUCUCCUGCUGGAGACAAUGCUAAGGCUAAUCACCUUUAUGCCUGGGAAAGCCCGCACUCAUUGAUUUAUGAAGGACAGCUUUGCUUUGCUCAGAAUGGCAUUCUUAGUUGGCUGUGUGUUUAAAAUCUGAGCUUCGAAUGCGUCAUUUCACAACAUCCUGACUCACCAGCUUUCUGCCGAGAAGUCUGCUAAGCAUCUGCCCACAUUCUCAGAGAUAUGCCAUUCACAGUAUGCUGAACCUUUCUGCUCAAUCAUUAAUCAAGAUAAUGUCCUGCAAACAUAGCCACAGGCCAAUCAGAGAUGAGGAUUCACUCAACCACUUCUCCAGUGUAAUGUGUGCUGCCAUGCUCCCCACCAUGAUGACAAUGGGCUUACUCCGAAACUGAGGCCUUUUUCUUCUCACUUAUGUUGACAGACUGUUGAUGGCCUUUCACACUAACUUGGUUGGAAGAAGAAGAAGAUGAAGAAAAAAGAAACUUCAGAUGAUCCUAUUUGUGUAAGAAAAAAAAAAAAAAAGUCUUCCAAACAACUCCCUUGUCGCCAGCAUCAACAGCAGCUGAACACGGGCUGAGUUGUUGCACAGUGAGAAUUAUUCCUUUCAUUUCAAAGGCAUCAGAUGUUUGGGGCAAGCAAAAGUCCUGGCUGGUUAAACACGAUCAAAAAUAAACUAGUAUCACAUUUGCUUACGGAACGCGCUGAUUAAAUCUCCCGCUGCAGUCUGAGUACACUGUUUGUUCCUCCAGAAAGGUUUUAAAAGGAGGGAGGUCAGCUCAAAAAUCUAAGCUGAUUUGGAGAGCCUAAGAAGCGUCUGAAGAUCUUCUCUUUCCAGAAUUCCUUUCUUAUGAUGAAACACUGCUGCCAGUGCGCCUGAGCUGUUGAUGACUUAUAAACAGAAGUCAAAGGGAAUUGGAGCUUCUGUCAAGACCCAUUCCAAAUAUAAUAAAAAGAGAGAUGAUUGGAUGUCUCUUCAGGGCUCUGGAUGAGCGCUUUUGUGCUUUGACUGUUCUUUGAACUGGGAUGCAAAGUGCAGUUUCAGGCUCUCAUUUGUUACCUGUCUCAACAGAAAUGUCAGCAGUUUAUGUUUCCAGUAGCUCUUGUCUCAAACCAUAGCUUCCUUCCUGCCUUUCUUUCUUCCUUCCUUCUUUCCUUUCUUUUUUCUUUCUUUCUUUCUUUCUUUCUUUGUUUCUUCCUUUCUUUCCUUCCUUCUUUCUUUCUUCUUUCAAUUCUUUUCUUUCCUUCAAUUCUUUUUCCUUCUUUCUUUCCUUCCUUCCUUCUCUUCUUUUCUUUCAUGCAUUUCUUUCUUUCACCUUUGAAAAAAAGUAGCCCAUAAGAGUACAUCAUCCAGUGUUCUGGGACACAGUAUAGGUUUUAUACUUUGCUAUAUGCAAUUAAGCAUCUUCUCCCUGACAUGUCUGUCCCUGUGCUGUGACCUGUGGGUCUUAACUUUGUCAUUUGUAGAUGGGAACUGAACAGAGUUUACAGUGCCAAAUUACUGUCCCAAGGUUCCUGUGGCACUUGGUUCUUAAGACUUAUUAGCCCUUUCUUUUCUCUUUCUUUUUUUGUUUUGUUUUGUUUUUCAAGACAGGGUUUUUUUUUUUUGUGGCUUUGGAGACUAUCCUGGAACUAGCUCUUGUAGACCAGGCUGGUCUCGAACUCAUAGAGAUGCACCUGCCUCUGCCUCCCGCGUGCUAGGAUUAAAGGUGUGCAUCACCCUCACCUGGUUAUUAGCAGGCCGUCUUAUCCUGUACCUUACAAGACAUUCAGCACCAUCCUUUGCUUCUACCCCCUAGACAGCAAUUGUAUGAUAUUCCUUCCCACACCACUCAGAUGACAAUGGAAACUGUCUCCAUUGUCA